rfam:Homo sapiens chromosome 2, GRCh38 reference primary assembly.
GCCGGACAUGGUGGUACGUGCUUGCAGUUCCAGCUACUCAGGAGGCUGAGGCAGGGUGGAUCCCUUGGGUCCAGGGGUCCAGGAUUGUAGUGCGCUAUGCUCAUCAUGUGUCCUCACUAAGUUCAGCAUCAAUAUGUGACCUCCUGGAAGCAGGGGACUGCUGGAUUGCAUAAGGAAGCGUGAACUGGCCCAGGUCAGCAAUGAAGCAGGUCUGAACUCCCAUGCUGAUCAGUAGUGGGAUGGUGUCUGGGAAUAGCCACUGCACUCGAGACUGGGGCAACCUAGUGAUAUCCUGUA